rnacentral:misc_RNA from 1 species
AAUUCUCAACCUUUAUCAACUUUUUUGUUGAUAGUGGCUUGGAUAUGGGGGUAAUUUGCUGGCUUCUUUAUUGAGGUCAGCUCCCCUUAAAUGUAUUAGCUGGUGCCUUGAGUGGACUUGUCUAUCGGUGUGAUAAUUAUCUACGCUGUGGAUUGUUCUAGCAUGCACUGCUUCAAACUGUCUGUUCAUUCAGACAAUACUAUGACA